CGAGAUCGGGUUAUCUCAGUCGAGGGCUAAGAUUCUGUAACAUAAUCCCAACCGAGGCGUUAGCAUACUAUAGCAUAUUAUACUAGCAUGCCGAAAGUCAAUAACGUCGUGAAAUCCAACCCGGCUAGCCAUUUACAUGCUAUACUAGCAUGCCGAAAGUCAAUAACGUCAUGAAAACCAGCCCGGCUAGCCAUGAAUCAUCAACAACAGAUAUUGAAAGAAGAAGAUGUCCAAAAGAACCCGAAAAGAUAAAAUCUCAAGAAAAUACAACUAAAGAAAGAUUCUGUUGCCUGCAGAUCCUGAUAGCCAUUGGUACUGUUCCGUGUGAGGUCACAGUAAGCUUCAGGUUGAAGUCUGUGUAUCAGGAGGUUCUCAGGCGUUCCAAGCACAAACAAGGGCCUACAGCUAGGCCAAAUCUCCAUGAACAAUAGAUAAAUAAAAGGGGCGUUUUCAAAAUAUUUAUGGUAUUCCAAGAUCCUGUUUAAAAGUGGUGAUGCUAAUUUGAUGUACAUGUAUGUGCCAUUGUCAGUGUUUAGAGGAACCUUUCAUAUUGAAAGACACUGGUGACUUGGCGGUCCAAGAUGCCCUAAAAGUCAACCUUCAAAGUGCUGUCCACUCCUCCCUGAUGCUUCUUUCUGAAAAAUUCUCAGACAUGGAACUUUUUACUGAAAUAGCUUCUCUGUCCUACACAAAUGAAAUCCGGAUGCCAUUCAGUGAAGAUAGAAAUAGAAUUAAAAAUAUUGUAAAUACUUGUGUGGGCAAUUUUCGACUUUUAUACAAGUACCAAGUACCUAAACUGGGAUGACAAUAUUAAAUCUUUUGAACAAGAGUA